UCUGUGGAAGGCUGAGCGAUUCUGACGUCAAAUCGAUCGUCAAUUUGAGGUAUGGGGAGGAGACCAUAAUACUCCAAAUUUUUUUUAUUACUCGCCGCGCGGGAACUACAUAUCAUAGCGGAGGAAAAGAACUACAAGGAUUCCCCUAGUAACUGCGAGUGAAGCGGGAAAAGCUCAAAUUUAAAAUCUGGUGGUCUUUGGCCAUCCGAGUUGUAAUCUAGAGAAGUGUUACCCGCGUUGGACCGUGUACAAGUCUCCUGGAAUGGAGCGUCAUAGAGGGUGAGAAUCCCGUCUUUGACACGGACUACCAAGGCUUUGUGGUGCGCUCUCAACGAGUCGAGUUGUUUGGGAAUGCAGCUCAAAAUGGGUGGUAAAUUCCAUCUAAAGCUAAAUACAGGCGAGAGACCGAUAGCGAACAAGUACCGUGAGGGAAAGAUGAAAAGAACUUUGGAAAGAGAGUUAAACAGUACGUGAAAUUGCUGAAAGGGAAACGCUGGAAGUCAGUCGCGUUGGCUAGGAAUCAACCUUGCUUUUUGCAGGGCUUACUUCUUAGUUGACGGGCCAACAUCAAUUUUGAUUGCUGGAAAAAGGCCUAGGAAAUGUGGCACCUUCGGGUGUGUUAUAGUCCUGGGUUGUAUACAGUGAUUGGGAUUGAGGAACGCAGCACGCCGCAAGGUUGGGUUUCGACCACACUCGUGCUUCGGAUGUUGGCAUAAUGGCUUUCAUCGACCCGUCUUGAAACACGGACCAAGGAGUCUAACAUGCCUGCGAGUGUUUGAGUGGAAAACUCGAGCGCACAAUGAAAGUAAAAGUUGAGAUCUCUGUCAUGGAGAGCAUCGACGCCCGGACCUGAUGUUUACUGACGGUUCUGCGGUAGAGCAUGUAUGUUGGGACCCGAAAGAUGGUGAACUAUGCCUGAAUAGGGUGAAGCCAGAGGAAACUCUGGUGGAGGCUCGUAGCGAUUCUGACGUGCAAAUCGAUCGUCAAAUUUGGGUAUAGGGGCGAAAGACUAAUCGAACCAUCUAGUAGCUGGGUCUGCGAGUUUUCUCUCUCUCAAGGAGAAAAGGAAAAAUGAAGGUGUUCCUAUAUGCUUCCCUCCCCUCUUCCCCAAAUUUGACGAUGAAUUUGCACGUUCAGAUUCGCUACGAGCCUCC
rnacentral:rRNA from 1 species